GCAGUAGUGUAGCAGAUUAGUACCAGUUCUGACCUACAAUACCUAGCCUAGGAUAUGGUUUCAGCCAGGUGACAGGUAGAUGAUUGAGAAGUUGCUCGAAGAGUCCUGACUGUCAGCCCCACGUCACACUCGAGGAUAGUUUUCUGUUUGCUUUUGUUAUUGCUUGGGUGGUAUGUUGAUUAUGUGUAUUUUGCUUUUCAAUAAGUCGAUGUGAAUUUUGGGGUCAAGUCUGGUGAUUACAGGUAAUUUUGUUAGUGUCGUUGUUGGUCUUACAUUCGUAUUAUUCUGUGUUUUUCCGCUGUGCAUGUUUCCAGUCGUGUGGGCUGUUAUUAACUGCGUGGUUGUGCUUAUAUCCAGCCGUGUGGGCUGUUGUAUUA